rnacentral:rRNA from 1 species
CCUACGGGAGGCAGCAGUGGGGAAUAUUGCACAAUGGGGGAAACCCUGAUGCAGCGACGCCGCGUGAGUGAAGAAGUAUUUCGGUAUGUAAAGCUCUAUCAGUAGGGAAGAUAAGGACGGUACCUGACUAAGAAGCCCCGGCUAACUACGUGCCACCAGCCGCGGUAACACGAAGGGGGCAAGCGUUAUCCGGAUUUACUGGGGGUAAAGGGGGGGUAGGGGGCAGGGCAAGUCAGAUGUGAAAACCCGGGGCUCAACCCCGGGAGUGCAUUUGAAACUGGCCAGCUGGAGUGCAGGAGAGGUAAGCGGAAUUCCUAGUGUAGCGGUGAAAUGCAUAGAUAUCACGCAGAACUCCGAUUGCGAAGGCAGCAUACCGGCGCCCAACUGACGCUGAAGCACGAAAGCGUGGGUAUCGAACAGGAUUAGAUACCCCAGUAGUC